rnacentral:rRNA from 1 species
UACGUAGGUGGCAAGCGUUGUCCGGAUUUAUUGGGUUUAAAGGGUGCGUAGGCGGUCAUGUAAGUCAGCGGUGAAAUCCGGCAGCUCAACUGUCGAUGUGCCAUUGAUACUGCAUGACUUGAGUACUGAUGAGGUAGGCGGAAUUGACGGUGUAGCGGUGAAAUGCUUAGAUAUCGUCAAGAACACCGAUAGCGAAGGCAGCUUACUAAGCAGUAACUGACGCUGAGGCACGAAAGUGUGGGGGAUCAAACAGG